rnacentral:rRNA from 1 species
GGGGAGGGUGCUUGCUCCUACUAGCGGCGGACGGGUGAGUAUGCUAGGAAUCUGCCUAUUAGUGGGGGACAACAUUCCGAAAGGAAUGCUAUACCGCAUACGCCCUACGGGGGAAAGCAGGGGAUCUUCGGACCUUGCGCUAAUAGAUGAGCCUAAGUCAGAUUAGCUAGUUGGUGGGGUAAAGGCCUCCAAGGCGACGAUCUGUAGCGGGUCUGAGAGGAUGAUCCGCCACACUGGGACUGAGACACGGCCCAGACUCCUACGGGAGGCAGCAGUGGGGAAUAUUGGACAAUGGGCGAAAGCCUGAUUCAGCAUGCCGCGUGUGUGAAGAAGGCCUUUUGGUUGUAAGCACUUUUAAGCGAGGAGGAGGCUCUGAGAUAAUCCUCUUGAUAGUGACGUACUCCAGAAUAGCACCGCUACUCUGUGCAGCGCCGCGUAAUCAGAGGGUCGAGCGUAUUGAUUACUGGCGUAACGGCGUAGCGGUUUUAAGUCGUGUAAUC